rnacentral:rRNA from 1 species
CCUACGGGUGGCUGCAGUGAGGAAUAUUGGGCAAUGGGCGCAAGCCUGACCCAGCAACGCCGCGUGAAGGAAGAAGGCUUUCGGGUUGUUAACUUCUUUUUUUGAGGACGAAACAAAUGACGGUACUCAAUGAAUAAGCCACGGCUAACUACGUGCCAGCAGCCGCGGUAAUACGUAGGUGGCAAGCGUUAUCCGGAUUUACUGGGUGUAAAGGGCGAGUAGGCGGGACUGCAAGUCAGAUGUGAAACUCAUGGGCUCAACCCAUGUCUUGCAGUUGAAACUGUAGUUCUUGAGUGAUGGAGAGGUAGGCGGAAUGCGGGGUGUAGCGGUGAAAUGCGUAGAUAUAAGGAGGAACACCAGUGGCGAAGGCGGCCUGCUGGACAUUAACUGACGCUGAGGCGCGAAAGCGUGGGGAGCAAACAGGAUUAGAUACCCUGGUAGUC